AUACGGAGGGUGCAAGCGUUACUCGGAAUCACUGGGCGUAAAGCGCGCGCAGGCGGCUUGAUAAGUUGGAUGUGAAAGCCUACGGCUCAACCGUAGAACUGCAUCCAAAACUAUUUGGCUAGAGUGUGGGAGAGGAAGAUGGAAUUAGUUGUGUAGGGGUAAAAUCCGUAGAGAUAACUAGGAAUACCAAAAGCGAAGGCAAUCUUCUGGAACAUUACUGACGCUGAGGCGCGAAAGCGUGGGGAGCAAACAGGAUUAGAUACCCCGGUAGUCC
rnacentral:rRNA from 1 species